rnacentral:lncRNA from 1 species
GACUGCUGUAGGGGAGGAGAGUUCACAUCUGCAGGAAAGGGUGGCUCUGUGUGCUCAUGGGAAAGCCAAAUCAGCUUCCAGGGUGUCCAUGGAAAAAGAGCCCUGCAAGUUUCCAGCUCUAUUGGCAAAGGGCAGGUUGGGCAGAACACCCCAGCUGUGGGCCCAGGGGGAUCAGGAGCAAAGCCAGAGCUCCAGGUGCUCCCCUCUGGGACCAAGCUUGGCACUGCCCCAACAGUGACUUCAUCAUCCCCAGGGCACAGCACAGGCUCCUUCUCCUGCACCAGCCUGACUUAUCCCCUUCUCCUAACUACCUGUGGAUUCUUUUUGCAGUUUCCAUUACGACUGGGACACCAGCUCCAGCAGCAUGAAUGACCCUAUGGUGGACUCGGGCAAAGCCAGCGACAUCUCGGUGUCGAGCUGGCCCACGGAGCCCAUCCAGUGGGCUCCCUUCCCUCUCCAGCAGCUCUCCAGGCAGCGACCGCACAAGGCCCGACUGGCCGCAGCCGUUCUGGCGAGGGGCUGGGAGCUGGGCACGCUGGGAGCGGAGCUGGACGGCCUGAGCCCACGGAAACAGACGGACACGAGGUUCAGCUUUAAAACCAACCACAUUUUAUUUCCACGUAACGAGCUCAGUGAAGGAAUCCACACACUUGGACGAUACAAUCAACGCGGGUGUGAUGUCAGUGAUGUCAGUCCCAGCGGGGCAGAGCCCCUGCCCCGGCUCCUGUCCGCGCCUCGCGAGCUCUGGCUGGGACUGCGGGCUCCAGAGCGGGCAGAUACAGAGAGGUGUCAGGACACACAGUGCUGGCAUCCACCAGGUCGUGACUUUUGGGGGCAGUUGGGGCAGGAAGGCUGGCGGUUCUGGAGGGCGCAUCGGGCUCUGGACGCAGCGGCUCUGCCCCGCGGCCGCCGCAGGACGAGCUCAGCCACGCCGGAGGGAGGGAGACACACGAAAGCGCUGCUGCGUCGCUCAUCAUGGUUCAUGUCAAUGAGGUAUAAACACCAGGAUGUUGUAAGCAUUAAAGUUUAUUUUCCAAAAUGCUCUCCUUAUUCGCACGUGUCCUCUGGAGCAUCGAGCUGGGCACAAAUGGUGGGGGCUGGAAAUGGGGCGCUGUACGGAGGGCGAGGGCAACGGGGUCCCAAAGGUGCUCGGAUAGAAAAGGAAAAGCAAGCUGCAGUUCUACACUUAGACUCUCAUAGUCUCAGAUGGGGAACGUUGAGGGAGAUUUUUGCUAGAAUAAAAUGCAGAUCUCUUCAUAAAAAAAUCAGUUUGCUAAAAGAAAACUCAACCUAUGGGAAUACAGAGCUAUCAGUUCGGUCGAUAUUCUCAUCGUAUAGAAAACAGCCUACAAAUAAAGUCACAAAAAAUAGACAGUUAUAUGCUGAGCAGCCAAAAACAUCAUGA